AACGAACGCUGGCGGCGUGGCUAAGACAUGCAAGUCGCACGGACUAUGCUUAACCGUAUAGUCAGUGGCGAAAGGGUGAGGAAUAGAUAGGUAACGUACCCUGUGCACCGGAAUAGCGUCGGUUAGUAGCAAUACUAACCUACCGAAAGGGGCGGUAAUACCGGAUAAUGUUAUUGAUCGCAUGAUUGAUAACCAAUGGAUUUAUCGGCACAGGAGCGGCCUUUCUCCUAUCAGCUUGUUGGUGAGGUAACGGCUCACCAAGGCUAUGACGGGUACCUGGAUUGAGAGAUUGACCAGGCACAUCGGGACUGAGACACUGCCCGGACCUCCACGGAGGGCUGCAGUAACGAAUAUUGGGCAAUGGGCGCAAGCCUGACCCAGCGACGCCGCGUGAAGGAUGAAGUCCUCGGAUGUAACUUCUUUAGGUUGCUGAAGUACCGCAAGGAUUGAUCUAACCACGAAAAGUACAACGGCUAACUCUGUGCCACGCAGCCG
rnacentral:rRNA from 1 species